UUUCCGUAGGUGAACCUGCGGAGGGAUCAUUACAGAGUUCAUGCCCUACCGGGUAGAUCUCCCACCCUAUGUUAUUAUUACUUUGUUGCUUUGGCGGGCCGUUAGGCUCCGGCCCGACUACCGGCCCCGGCUGGUAAGCGCCCGCCAGAGGACCCAAAACCCUGAAUAUUAGUGUCGUCUGAGUACUAUAUAAUAGUCAAAACUUUCAACAACGGAUCUCUUGGUUCUG
rnacentral:misc_RNA from 1 species